rnacentral:rRNA from 1 species
AGAGUUUGAUCAUGGCUCAGAGCGAACGCUGGCGGCAGGCCUAACACAUGCAAGUCGAGCGCCCCGCAAGGGGAGCGGCAGACGGGAGAGUAACACGUGGGAACGUGCCCUUCAGUUCGGAACAACCCAGGGAAACUUGGGCUGAUACCGGAUACGUCCGUAAGGAGAAAGAUUUAUCGCUGAAGGAUCGGCCCGCGUCUGAUUAGCUAGUUGGUGAGGUAACGGCUCACCAAGGCGACGAUCAGUAGCUGGUCUGAGAGGAUGAUCAGCCUCACUGGGACUGAGACACGGCCCAGACUCCUACGGGAGGCAGCAGUGGGGAAUAUUGGACAAUGGGCGCAAGCCUGAUCCAGCCAUGCCGCGUGGGUGAAGAAGGCCCUUGGGUUGUAAAGCCCUUUCGGCGGGGAAGAUAAUGACGGUACCCGCAGAAGAAGCCCCGGCUAACUUCGUGCCAGCAGCCGCGGUAAUACGAAGGGGGCUAGCGUUACUCGGAAUCACUGGGCGUAAAGCGCACGUAGGCGGCUUUUUAAGUCAGAGGUGAAAUCCUGGAGCUCAACUCCAGAACUGCCUUUGAUACUGGAGAGCUUGAGUCCGGGAGAGGUGAGUGGAACUGCGAGUGUAGAGGUGAAAUUCGUAGAUAUUCGCAAGAACACCAGUGGCGAAGGCGGCUCACUGGCCCGGUACUGACGCUGAGGUGCGAAAGCGUGGGGAGCAAACAGGAUUAGAUACCCCGGUAGUCC